GACGAACCGUCCAAACGUUAUUCGGAAUCACUGGGCUUACAGAGUUCGUAGGCGGUCUGGAAAGUUGGGUGUGAAAUCCCUCGGCCUAACCGAGGAACUGCGCUUGAAACUACCAGACUCGAGGGAGAUAGAGGAAAGCGGAACUGAUGGUGGAGCGGUGAAAUGCGCAGAUAUCAGGAGGAACACCGGUGGCGAAGGCGGGUCUCUGGGCCGAUAUUGACGCUGAGGAGCGAAAGCGUGGGGAGCAAACAGG
rnacentral:rRNA from 1 species